rnacentral:rRNA from 1 species
CUUGGUCAUUAGAGGAAGUAAAAGUCGUAACAAGGUUUCCGUAGGUGAACCUGCGGAAGGAUCAUUACUGAACUGUCGACACGAGUUGUUGCUGGCCCUCAAAUGGGGGCACGUGCACGCUCUGUUUGCAUCCACUCACACCUGUGCACCCUCUGUAGUUCCAUGGCCCAGGAGGUUCUGACCUCCUUCUGUGGUUCUGCUUCUUUACACACACACUGUAACACUGUUUUGUGGAAUGUACGCAGCGUUUAACGCGAUACAAUACAACUUUCAGCAACGGAUCUCUUGGCUCUCGCAUCGAUGAAGAACGCAGCGAAAUGCGAUAAGUAAUGUGAAUUGCAGAAUUCAGUGAAUCAUCGAAUCUUUGAACGCACCUUGCGCCCUUUGGCUAUUCCGAAGGGCAUGCCUGUUUGAGUAUCAUGAACACCUCAACUCUCAUGGCUUGCCGUGAUGAGCUUGGACUUUGGAGGCCUGCCGGCAUGUUGUCAGCUCCUCUCAAACAAAUCAGCCUGCCAGUGCACGGCGGCAUCAUGGGUGUGAUAACUAUCUGCGCUUGUGGUGCCUGCCAGACAGCCUUCAGCAGUGGAGGUUUGCUGCGGGGCUUACAAAUGUCUCUCCUCAGCGAAGACAGCUUUCUGAACGUUUGAUCUCAAAUCAGGUAGGACUACCCGCUGAACUUAAGCAUAUCAAUAAGCGGAGG